rnacentral:rRNA from 1 species
AUUGAACGCUGGCGGCAGGCCUAACACAUGCAAGUCGAACGAGUGGCGGAAGGGUGAGUAAUGUCGGGGAAACUGCCCGAUGGAGGGGGAUAACUACUGGAAACGGUAGCUAAUACCGCAUACCAUCGGAUGUGCGCAGAGGGGAUUAGCUUGUAGGUGAGGUAACGGCUCACCUAGGCGACGAUCCCUAGCUGGUCUGAGAGGAUGAGCAGCCACACUGGAAGUGAGACACGGUCCAGACUCCUACGGGAGGCGUCAGUGGGGAAUAUUGCACAAUGGGCGAAAGCCUGAUGCAUCCACGCCGCGUGUAUGAAGAAGUCCUUCGGUUUGUAAAGUACUUUUAGCGGGGAGGCGGUACCCGCAGAAGAAGCACCGGCUAACUCCGUGCCAGCAGCCGCGGUAAUUC